UACGUAGGGGGCAAGCGUUGUCCGGAUUUAUUGGGCGUAAAGCGCACGCAGGCGUCGUGUCAGUUCGUGACGACAGUUCUCGGCUCAACUGAGAAAGUGUUACGAAUACUGCACGACUUGAGGGCUUCAGAGGGAUGCGGAACUCCGGGUGUAGUGGUGAAAUGCGUAGAUAUCCGGAAGAACACCAAGGGCGAAGGCAGCAUCCUGGGAAGUACCUGACGCUCAGGUGCGAAAGCUAGGGGAGC
rnacentral:rRNA from 1 species